ACUGCGGGUUCUGCACGGCCCUGCAGCACCAUGUGGGUCUUGCUUGGCCCUGCAGCACUGCUUGCAGGUCCUGCACAGCCCCCGUGGCACUGGCUGUGGGUCCUGCCCGGCCCCACGGCCCCAGGUGCAAGUGCUGCACGGCCCUGCAGUGCUGUUUGCAGGUCCUGCACGGCCCUGUGGCACUGGUGCUGAUCCUGCAUCGCCUUGAGGUGCUGGAUGCUGGUCCUGCACGGCCCUGCAACGUUGUUGGCAGGUCCUGCACGGCCCUGUGGCACUGGGUGCUGGUCCUGCGUGACCCACAGCUCUGGGUGCUGGUCCUUUGUGGCCCUGCAGCUCUGGGUGCUGGUGCUGCACCGUCCCGUGGUGCCGUCGGUGGGUUCUGCAUGGCCACGUGCCAGGUUUGGGGGUCCCGGCGGACCCCCCGGCCCGGCCCUGCGGCGCUUCCUGGGACCCUCUCGGCCCUGCUGCACCUUUGGGGGGGUGCUGGGUCCCGGUGGGUGCCGUGGCGAGGGGCCGGCCCGGCGCGGCGUUGGCACAUCCCAGGCAGGCCGGUGCCGGUGCCGGUGCCGGCGGGAAGCAGGUUCCCGCUGGGAACGGGCGCCGGCGGCGGUGGGGACCCGGUGGGGACCGUGGGGAUGCCUGGGGCAAAAGGCGUUCAGUUUUUAAUGUACCCGACUCACGUCUUUUUUUAAAAACAACCAGACAAAUUCUGUUGCACAGCCCUAGAUGAAAACUCAAAACAACACAGAAAGGCCUAAAUUCCUUAAGAUCCGCCGAGGGAGUGGGGACAAACACGGUGCUAAAACAUUUUAUUAAAAAUAUAUAUUGUUAAAUUAAGUCUGCUGUCUGGACAAUGACUGUUUUGUUUCUCGUAGUGGAGUUUCAAAGAGCACUAUUAUUUUACUCUUAUAUAUUAUUAUUAAAAAAAAAAAACAAAAAAGAAAAAGGCAUUUUAACUUUGUACUUGAAAACUAAACGAGAGAUUUCAUGUGUUUUAGCCUAGACAUUGAAGUAGCUGACGCUUAACUAUUUGUGGGAAUCAUGUACUCAUCAUCCCAAGGAAUACGCGCGUAGAGCUGGUACCCUCCUUCCUCCCUUUGAUUUGGCUCCACCGCCACAUUCCCGGCGCCGCCGCGGCCGCCCCGGCUGCUCUCCCUCCCCUUUUCCCGCCCCCCCCGCCCCAAAACACCCCCCCCCCCCCCCGGUUUAUUUUCUACUUCUCUCUCGGUUCGUUGCCCCCGUUUUUUUGUUGGUUUGUUUUUUUAGGGUCGCUUCUCUAUUUAUUGCCGCUGAACUGUGCAUUUCACGGCCGGAGGUGCCGCGGGCGCCCGGCGCUGUUGUAUCUGUGUGAGUAUUGCUCGUGACAUAGCUGUUCUGAACUAAUAAAGGUCAAUGCGUGCAGCAGAUGUAGAAAGUCUGUCCGUCCCGCUUCCAUCCCAUCCUCCUUUUCUUUUUCUUUGGUGCCCAGAAGAGUAUAAUACAGACAAGCUCCUUUCUAAUGUACUUGUGCUGGAGAACACUUGAAUAAAUGUCCUGUUUUGUGCAAAAAAAAAAAAAGAGAAAAAAAGAGGAAAAAAAAAAG